CUCACCCGAGGCCGCUGCUGUGCCGGCCACGUCCCCAGGAGGGAGCCCCAGCCACGAGGAGGAGGAGGAGGAGGAGGGCGAGCGGGUGGGGGGGAGCCCCCGGAUCUGGCCCCGUCUCGGUCUCCUGGAGGAGGCGGAGGGGCUUACUCGGAAGCAAGCCCGACUCACGGGCUCCUCCCUGCCUAGAACGGGGCUUGCAGCCCCCUCGUCGGGCAUUCGGUUUCCAGAGGGAGGGAGCCGUCAGUCGGACUCCCUUGCCGAGAGAGCUCACGGGCGGGCGGGCGGGCGGGCAGGGCGAGAAGGUUGCCCUGCUCUUUGUGUGUGUGUGUCCCCCACCUUCAGGGGUAGACUGCCUUUGCACGUGGAGGCUCCCUCCGACUAGCGGGGCUCCUCCUCAGAACAAGCUGCCAGCGGGGCGCGGGAUGGAAGCAAGACGGACCCUCGUGCGGAGCGCAGGGCGGAGGAGCGCUCUUGGGAGUGCAAAGCGCUUCCCGCGUCUCAUCUUCUCACCCCAAGCCAGGGACCCUGGAAGGGAAGACCUGGUCUGCGGAGGUAGACUGCCUGUGUGCAUGGAGGCUCCACGGCACCGCUCGAUGAGACCAACGGGGUCUCCUCGCCCAGCAUCCACUUUCCAAAGGCAGCCAGUCAGAUGCCUUUGAGAGCUGUCGCUGGAAGCUCAGAAGUGCCUUUGACAGUGAGCUGGCCUCCUUCACUGCUGCCAUGUUCUCCUGUGAUGCGCCCACUGGCUGCACCUGAACCUGUACCUGGGACUGACCGGCUAAAACCUAAGAUGGCGACUAGGCCUGCUCAGGAUUCAGGAAGCAAGAGAUGCCUUGGUGUGGGGAAUUCUCACUGAAUUCUGGGAAAUGACUCCCCAAAGGGAUGUGUGUGUUGCUUGUGUCUGGUGAAAUGUGUGCCCUUUUAUGAUGCUUCUGUCCUGCAAACAAGUGCCUUGAGCUGGUAAGACAGAUGGGUUGCAUGGCCUCUUCCCCCACAUUGAAUUACUGAGGAGACCAGAGACUGCCGGUUGAGCUGGCCUGGUUUUGCAUCCGAAGGACAUAUUCUCCCUGGAACAAGAGACGCUUGUGGGAACAAGCAGGAAACAUCCCUGCUGUUGAUAAGAACCAACUAACAAAACAUUCAGGAUGUGAAAGCAUUUGAUCGACGCCUUUAUGGUCCGAUGCACUGCCUCUUUUAUUUUAUUUAUUUACUUAUUUAUUUGAUUUAUAUUUUGCAGCGUUCAGGAGAUUUGAUUGAUUGAUAUCUCUGUAAACCGCUUUGGGACAAGCUGUAUAUAAAAAUUUGUCGCAUUCAAAUCCAUAUUUGUCCUAUUGAGAUAGGCAAAUGCUAGAGAUCAAAGGUUUUAAAACUAGCUAAGAAGACCAGCUGCGAGGAGGCGGGGGGGGGGCGCCUUGGGGCUCCGGGCCUCGCGCCUGACUUGCUGGCGGCCUUGCUUGCCUGCCAGCCCGAUCCAGCAGCAGACCGAGUCCUUGUCUCUGCCGGGAGAACAUGUCUGUCCGACCCGUUCCGGACCUGCGCUCUCCGAGCCCCACCUGAAUCGGAGGCCGACGCUUCCAUCGAGCGAACCCCAACCGGGAACAUCACCUCGCUACGGCCAGCCUUCGCCCAGCCACACGCAUCCCCUCUCUUUGCAAUGCUUUGAUGGGCCGCAGUGGACGCUUUCGCACACAGUCUGUGUUUCCUGCGGUGCCUGCUUCCGCCAGGAAUGGCUGUAGCUGACUCGGGAACUUGAGAGCCCCCGGAGGGCCGUGUGCCUGAUCCCCUGGACUCUGGUCUCGCUCCAGGGCCUGCACAGUCUGCAGGGUGACACCCUCUCCUUUGAAGGCAGCUGGGAAACUACACUGGGUGCAGAAUGAGGCUGCCAGGAGGCUGCUAGGACAGCAUGUACAUCUGGCCCCCGUCCGGCAGCCGUUCCCCUUUCCUUUCUGAUUGGCAUGUGUGUCAUACAGGAAGCUGCCUUCUACGGAGUCAGACCCUUGGUCCAUCUCGCUCGGGAUUGUCUGCUCUGACUGGCAGCAGCUCUUCAGGGUUUCAGGCAGGAGUGGUUGCCCCCACCUGCCCGCCCCUCCCUUACAGGAGCUGUCUCCAGCCUGGGACCACCCCCGGAUACCAAGCAGGGACUCGGCUGCUCAGCUAUGGCGCGCUUCCCAGCUCCAGUUAGUGCGGACGGACCAGCCCUUGAAGCCAUGAAUGGCCCUGAGCCCGGCUACCUUCAGGGCCACCUGGGCCCGUAGGGACCUGUUGGGGUCCCCUGAGCUCAGCUUCCCGGGCUCUGCUCUCUGACCCCGUACUAACCCGCGUCCGAGGGGUGGCUCUGGGGGACAGAGACUCUUCCGUGAUGGCUCCCCACUAGUGGAGCUCUUUCCCUAGGAGCAGCUUGCCACGAAGCCCCGCUCUCUUCCCAGUUUUAGUGGUGCGCUGAAAACCUUUCUGUCCCAUCAGGCAUUUAGCGACCGGUUCUGCUGUCACUGCCUUUGAUCCGUUCAGACUGGGAUGGAUGUUUCACUAAUCGGUUUUGAUUUUUUUUUUAAACUGAUGAUUGUACAUUUUACUCAGAUUCAUCUCUGUAAGCCACUGCCUUGGGAAAAUUAUAUUUCUAAGGCUGGAUACAGAUGCCUAAAAUAAAGUCAGUGGUCCUCCCCAGCAGCAGGUACAUUGCCUUUGAACAUGGAGGUUCCAUCUGACACUCACUAUCUGCCUCUAAUAGCCAGUAAUCUGUGGAUUGUUUUUAAACAUCCCCAUCAGCACCACACCUAAUGGCAGCGCAUUCCCUCCAGGAGCUCCUCAAACCUCUUCAUCCCAACACACACACACACACACACACACACACGUGCUAGGGAUGUGCCCCUUCUGCUGCACUCGGAGACCCGGCCUCGGCGGCACCAAAGUCCACCUUGAGAGGCCUGGGCUGUUUCAGCAGAACGCCCUGGCCUGUCCUGGCCGAAAGAGGCCUUGGGUGGCUGGGUCCAGUCGCUCCGCUCUGAGCAUGUGAUCCUGGAGGAGCUGCUGUGGCUGCCUUGACCCCCUAAUCUCCGAAGGCUCUGAUGUCACCACCGGCCAGAGAGAGAGCAGCGGCCCUCCCUCGCUCACUCUUCUCCUGGGGGGGCAGGGAGAGGGGCAGAGGAGGAGAGGCGGGCACCUUGGGGAGCCUAGUCCGCUGCGCAGUUGCUGCAGCCUCCUCUGCAGUGAGUGAGGGGAUUCCCAUGGCAGGAGCAGGACUCUGGAAUGGCUAUCCGCUCCUCAGUUUCCAACACAGCUUUUAGAAAAAAUGUAAAGGCUUGGCUUUUUGCCCAGGCAUUUCUUUGGUUCUCUGCUGCUGCUCUGUAUAACCUUUAUGGCUUUUAUGCUGUUUGUUUUAAAUUUUUUAAUCAGAUUUGUUUGAUAUCCCCGCCCACACACUUAAUAUUUUAAUUGUGUCUUUUUUACCAUCUUGUGUUAAAAAUUUUUUGCUGUAAACUGCCUUGGGAUUGCUUUAAUGAAAGGCGGUAUAUAAAUGUAACAAUAAGUAAAUAAAAUAAACAAACCACCCCCUGAGAAA